rnacentral:snoRNA from 1 species
ACCCCCUGGCAAUGGGCAAAGAGAUGCCUCAUUGGUGGUGUCGUUCUUAUAUCACUCAGGGGCAGAGCAGAUGACCGUCCUUUGUGCAUCCUAGCUUGGUGCCUGGGUUGGUGGCCAAAGCUGUUUCAUGCCUAAGGUACAUGA